rnacentral:rRNA from 1 species
CGUAGGGUGCGAGCGUUGUCCGGAAUUAUUGGGCGUAAAGAGCUCGUAGGCGGUUUGUCGCGUCGACUGUGAAAACCUGGGGCUUAACUCUGGGCCUGCAGUCGAUACGGGCAGACUUGAGUUCGGUAGGGGAGACUGGAAUUCCUGGUGUAGCGGUGAAAUGCGCAGAUAUCAGGAGGAACACCGGUGGCGAAGGCGGGUCUCUGGGCCGAUACUGACGCUGAGGAGCGAAAGCGUGGGGAGCGAACAGGAUUAGAUACCCUGGUAGUCCACGCUGUAAACGUUGGGCGCUAGGUGUGGGGGACAUUCACGUUCUCCGUGCCGUAGCUAACGCAUUAAGCGCCCCGCCUGGGGAGUACGGCCGCAAGGCUA